UCAAAAAUUAGAUUUCUUUGACUCUCUCCUCCCCCCUCCUCACAUCCCUACCCUUAUCCCUCUCUUCCUUCACCUUAGCUUCUUACCCAUACUCUUCUACCAAAGGUACAAUCAUGGCUUCUUUGGAGUGUGGGAUUGGAUGAAUGAGCAUGGAGCUCGAGGCUAAUGAGAAGGAUUCUCCAACUAUAAAUAGAGGCUUAAUCUUCAUCAAUUCACCACACAAAUUUAGCCACAACCUCUCUCUUAUUCUUGGUUCAUAAGCACCACCACACACCACCAUAACUCCACCAUACUCCACAACCAUUUCCAUAUCUUUUGAUCAAAAUCACCACCCAACACCACCUCCAUCACAAUCCAAUUCCCUUCUCUCCUCCCCUCCAUUCAUCUUCGUCAAACAAAAGCAGAAAAACUGGCAGAAGGAGGCUACUGGCGUCCUCCUGCCACCACCAGACUUCCUCACUGUCACCCAUCCACCGCCACUGUUCUACUACUGCUGUUGCUGGGAAUUAGUAAUUCAAGAAUUCAGAAGACGGAUAAUCAUGGAUUUCAGGCGAUCUAGUUUACUAGUUUUUGUUAUGUAUACCUACCCGUUAUGCUAAUUAAUGUAUUAUUAUGAUUAUCUAUAAGAACCAUGUAUUCAAACUUAAAGAUGGAAUAUAAAUGUUGUUUUGUUUUUUGUUGUA